UUAGAAGUCAUCUUUUUGUCUGCCAGUGUUACUUCACUGCUUUGAUUUAUCCUUGGUUCUCCUAUAAGCAGAGCCUGAGCCAAAAGCUUACAUAUGUAAAUUUGGGAAGUGAUCCCAGGGAACAGUGGCAAAAUGAAACAAGACAGACAAGCCUAUUAACAACAUAUUCAUUGAGUUAGCCAAAACAUAGGCACUAGUGCUAGAUCUUGAGGGAAC
rnacentral:lncRNA from 10 species